GAUGAACGUUGGCGGCGUGCCUAAUACAUGCAAGUCGAACGAAGACUGUAGUAAUACUGUCUUAGUGGCGAACGGGUGAGUAACGCGUGGGUGACCUGCACCGAAGUGUGGGAUAACAGUUCGAAAGGAUUGCUAAUACUGCAUAAUAUCCAAGAGAUUAGACGCUUUUGGAUUAAAGGAGUAAUUCGCUUCGGGAGGGGCCCGCGUCCCAUCAGCUAGUUGGUAAGGUAAUGGCUUACCAAGGCGAUGACGGGUAGGGGACCUGAGAGGGUGGCCCCCCAAAUGGAACUGAAACACGGUCCAUACACCUACGGGUGGCAGCAGUAGGGAAUAUUAGAAAUGGACGAAAGUCUGAUCUAGCAACACCGCGUGUGCGAUGAAGGCCUUCGGGUCGUAAAGCACUUUUUGGAGGGAAUAGGAAGGAAGGUACCUCAGAAUAAGUCUCGGCUAACUACGUG
rnacentral:rRNA from 1 species